rnacentral:lncRNA from 1 species
AACCACGACAGUUGUACAAGCAAUACAACAACUUACACCAUCACUAAAUGUCUAACUGAUGGUAACCUAGAAGUACUAUAUGUCAACGGAGUUGAUCCCAAGUAUGAAAUCUCACGGAGUCUUCUUCACAAAUGAACAAAAUAUACAUCCACAGAAAGCUAAUAGAAGGAGCGAGUAGCUAAGAUCGAAUGAUAAUAAGCUCUGAAAGAAAAAUUAAUCCUGCAUGCAUAAAAAGAAAUUACAAUCCCACAUUUAACAUUGUUAUACCAGUUUUAGAAUACGCCUACAAACAAUCAAAUUUAAAUUUGGCUGAUUAUAACUCUAUGUUUUCUUUAAUCCAAUACUCGUCUUCAGAGAUCAUUAUUAAUUUCGGUAACCACAAGUAAGCAGAGGCAUCAGCUUUGUCGAUCAAUAUUUUAGUUAAUAAAGAAAUGAAAAAGCUUAGUUUGCUCUCACCAAGAAAUAUCACAGUUUAAACCAUGUUCACACACACCAUCUAAACCAUGACUUGGUUCAGUUUUGAUGAGGUGUGUACAGAGAAGAUGGGGAUUUGAGGCGCUCAUCCAAAUUGCCUCCAAACUGAUCGAUCUUCCCGACAAAAGAUGGCCUCGAAAUUGGUGGCACGCUGAUCAUCAGUUUUGGGCUGACCUUUUCAGGUAACAGCAGCAGCGCGUGGAAGAAAACCGACAGCACGCGCGUAGGGACAUGGAUCGUCGGCUGAAAUCUUGCCGUGUACGGCGGUUAGCUACCAGCGUAUAAAAAUAUAGUACUUC